ensembl:lncRNA
AGACACUGGGGCAACAAGAGGCUGUUUGAAGGAAGCAGUCAUGAGGCAUAGUUGCAUCCAUCCGUUCUUCCCCCAUGUCGGACACUUCCUUUGGGUGUGGGUGGCAGGGGGUGGUAAAAAUGGUCUCAGAGCUCUCAGGGAUAUGAAUCCAAGCUCUCUGGAGAUGUCUAGAGCUGACCGGUUUGGUUUUUGUUUGCACAAUCCAUUGAGAAGAGUUUGAGCAUUUGUGUCCUCCUAGCCUGGCUUGGGGAAAUUAGAUACUUUAACAGAUGACCGGGGAACAAUCAGUUAUCCUGCACCCAUGUUUUCCAUAAAACACCCCCCACAAACACCUUAUUGAGCAACAAGGAUUCUGAUGGAAAAAAAAAAUCAAGGUGCAGAGAAACAUCACCACUGUACAAGGUCACUGUACCCCCAGCCUUCCCGGAGAGAAAGGAAGACACUCAUAGUGAGUAUUUUCACUCAGCGUGUCUUGGGAAACCUCAAGACUGGCGUGGGCUCAGCAAGGGAAGUUCCAAACACAGGGUUUUUUUUGGUGUGUUUUUCUUCUUUUCAAAGAAAACCAGAUCUACGGACUGAGUAAUGAAGCCUUGGGCCUCAAAACAUAUCACCUCCCAGGAAAGCCCCUUACACUUGGGCAGAAUUAUUUACCUGUGGUCCUUUACCAGAACUUGAAGCCGCUGAACUCCUCUAAUCAGUAACUUCACAGGAACGGUUGGCCCUGGACCAGCUCUUGAUCUAAUACUGACAAACAACCAGACUCUUUCUCCGCAGCCUAGGUCUGCCCAUGCUUGGAAACGGGAGAGGCCGCUGCUCUUCUGAGCUUUACAGAAUCUCCAAAUGGCCACUCACCAGCCAACACCAAACCAAUUCAACUCUUUCAGUGUGAGGAUUUUCCUUCAUCCCUUUCCUUCUUCUGAAUCGCCAGCUAAAGGCUUACCCAGAGGAUCUUUUAAACAAAGCAUCGGGGAGGGCUUAUCUUCUGGGUCCCAACAACUUGUGCUUUGUGCAGGGAGCACAAAGACUUGGUUUUUCUCCCGAAUAGGGAAGGUGAGACAGGGAGAAUAAAAGUGAACACUCAAUAAUUUUGCCUCUCAAACGUAG